rnacentral:rRNA from 1 species
AUUGAACGCUGGCGGCAUGCUUUACACAUGCAAGUCGAACGGUAACAGGGUGCUUGCACCGCUGACGAGUGGCGAACGGGUGAGUAAUGCGUCGGAACGUGCCGAGUAGUGGGGGAUAACGCAGCGAAAGUUGUGCUAAUACCGCAUACGUACUGAGGUAGAAAGUGGGGGACCUUCGGGCCUCACGCUAUUCGAGCGGCCGACGUCUGAUUAGCUAGUAGGUGAGGUAAAGGCUCACCUAGGCGACGAUCAGUAGCGGGUCUGAGAGGAUGAUCCGCCACACGGGGACUGAGACACGGCCCAGACUCCUACGGGAGGCAGCAGUGGGGAAUUUUGGACAAUGGGCGAAAGCCUGAUCCAGCCAUGCCGCGUGUCUGAAGAAGGCCUUCGGGUUGUAAAGGACUUUUGUCAGGGAGGAAAUCCCUAGCGUUAAUACCGCUGGGGGAUGACAGUACCUGAAGAAUAAGCACCGGCUAACUACGUGCCAGCAGCCGCCGUAACAC